rnacentral:rRNA from 1 species
CAGCCGCCGCGGUAAUACCGGCGGCCCGAGUGGCGGUCACUAUUAUUGGGCUUAAAGCGUCCGUAGCCGGGUUGGGAAGUCCUCCGGGAAAUCUGGCCGCUUAACGGUCAGAAUGCCGGAGGAUACUCCCAGCCUAGGGAGCGGGAGAGGCCGAGGGUAUUCCCGGAGUAGGGGUGAAAUCCUAUAAUCCCGGGAGGACCACCUGUGGCGAAGGCGCUCGGCUGGAACGCGUCCGACGGUGAGGGACGAAGGCCAGGGGAACAAACCGGAUUAGAUACCCGGGUAGUCCUGGCUGUAAACGAUGCGGACUAGGUGUCGGGCAAGCUAAGGGCUUGUCCGGUGCCGCAGGGAAGCCGUUAAGUCCGCCGCCUGGGGAGUACGGCCGCAAGGCUGAAACUUAAAGGAAUUGGCGGG